rnacentral:lncRNA from 1 species
GUAGUCUUUUGACCUGGUACCUCAUAUAAGUAUGUAAUCAAGGAAAAUAAAACGUUUGCAGCAAAUCAAAGGAGAAGAUGGCACGGAGAGAAUCAUAUGCAUGCAACCUGAGAUUUUCUUUCUGAAGAAAUAAGGAUGCUCGUGGGUGAAGCUAACAGCCAGUUAAUAAUUAGUACAGUAGCACACUCUUGGUACCAGAGCAACAGUAUAGAAGACUACUCUGAAUUAAUUUGAUCAAGGGCAUCAAAGUAGCCAUCAAGGAUUGCACAAACUCCAACUGAAUAUGGAUUCUUCGGCCAAGCAAUGGCUUGCAGAACUGGAGAAUGAUGAUGAUCCUAGAGCGCUUGAGCAUCUGGACCCUCUCAGCAUGCAGCAACUCGCUGAAUCCCUUGCCAACGAGCUUUUUAACCAGCCCCAAGAACAACAGGAAGAACAGCGUGGAUACCAUAACCCAUCACUGAGGGUCCUCCCCUUUGUCGGGGAUAUUAACAAGCCCGAGAGCCACACACCAGCAGCUGCUGCAAUUCGUGACAGCUUCUUCUCCCUCACCAAUGGCUCGUCCAGCUCACUCAACUUCUCGGCGCUGGAGCAGCAGCAGGAUAGUGGUCCCAUGACAAAAUUCUGCUCGCCGCUGUCGGAGAUGAAGAGAGGCGGAAGGAGGGCGACCUCGAGCAUGCAAGAACAUACGGACAAGGUCUCCGUUCUCGGCAGCACCAUUGAGUAUGUGCACCAUCUUAGGGAGAGGGUGAAGGUCCUGCAGGACAUCCAAAGCAUGGGGAGCACGCAACCCCCAAUUUCCGAUGCUCGCAGCCGUGCCGGCUCCGGUGAUGAUGGUAACAACAAUGAGGUGGAGAUAAAAGUUGAGGCAAAUUUACAGGGGACGACUGUUCUGCUGAGGGUUGUGUGCCCUGAGAAGAAGGGGGUGUUGAUCAAGCUGCUGACCGAGCUCGAGAAGCUCGGCCUGUCCACCAUGAACACUAAUGUUGUGCCAUUUGCAGAUUCAUCACUAAACAUCACCAUUACAGCACAGGUACUCCAUAACUUACUCCCAUUAUAUUUUACUCCCUCCGUCCUAAAAUAUAAAGGAUUUUGGAUGUAUUGGAUAUUUCCUAGUACAAUAAAUCUAGACGGGGAGUCUGUCCAGGUUUAUAGUACUAGCAAAUAUCCCAUCCGUCCAAAAUCCCCGUGAUUUGCAAACG